rnacentral:rRNA from 1 species
GAUCCUGGCUCAGGAUGAACGCUGGCGGCGUGCCUAAUACAUGCAAGUAGAACGCUGAAGCUUGGUGCUUGCACCGAGCGGAUGAGUUGCGAACGGGUGAGUAACGCGUAGGUAACCUGCCUCUUAGCGGGGGAUAACUAUUGGAAACGAUAGCUAAUACCGCAUAAAAAUCGACAUUGCAUGAUGUUGACUUGAAAGGUGCAAUUGCAUCACUAAGAGAUGG